rnacentral:piRNA from 1 species
UAACCCGUUAACUAAGCCCCGUUUU